GCCUACGGGGGGCAGCAGUAGGGAAUUUUCGUCAAUGAGCGCAAGCCUGAACGAGCAAUGCCGCGUGAACGAGGAAGGUCUUCGGAUCGUAAAGUUCUGUUGAAGGGGAAAAAGAGCGGAGAGAGGAAAUGGUCUCCGAUUGAUAUUACCCUUCGAGGAAGUCACGGCUAACUACGUGCCAGCAGCCGCGGUAAUACGUAGGUGGUGAGCGUUAUCCGGAAUGAUUGGGCGUAAAGGGUGCGUAGGCGGCCUGCUAAGUCUGGAGUGAAAGGUACCGGCUCAACCGGUACAGGCUCUGGAAACUG
rnacentral:rRNA from 1 species